rnacentral:misc_RNA from 1 species
GAUGAAGAACGCAGCGAAAUGCGAUAAGUAAUGUGAAUUGCAGAAUUCAGUGAAUCAUCGAAUCUUUGAACGCACAUUGCGCCCCCUGGUAUUCCGGGGGGCAUGCCUGUCCGAGCGUCAUUACAACCCUCAAGCUCAGCUUGGUAUUGGGCCCCGCCGCUCCGGCGGGCCCUAAAGUCAGUGGCGGUGCCGUCCGGCUCCGAGCGUAGUAAUUCUUCUCGCUCUGGAGGUCCGGUCGUGUGCUCGCCAGCAACCCCCAAUUUUUUUCAGGUUGACCUCGGAUCAGGUAGGGAUACCCGCUGAACUUAAGCACAUCAUAAGCGGAGGA